UUAUUCGACAGUUGCAGGGGGAUCCAUGGUUCAUCCGAAUGUUCCAUGCAUGCUGUUCACACCCAUCUGCCCACAUUCCCUCUCUUUCAGACCUGUGAUCCUCCCAGACUCUGCACAACUAGAAUUGAAGAUACCUGCAGAGACC